rnacentral:rRNA from 1 species
GAUCAUGGCUCAGAACGAACGCUGGCGGCGCGUUUAAGCAUGCAAGUCGAGCGGCAAGGGCCUUCGGGCCCCUAGAGCGGCGGACGGGUGAGUAACACGUGGACAAUCUGCCCCCCGGCCCGGGAUAGCCCAGGGAAACCUGGAUUAAUACCGGAUGAGACGGGACCCGCGAUGGCGGGACCCGGGAAAGGCGCUGCGGCGCCGCCGGGGGAUGAGUCUGCGUCCCAUUAGCUAGACGGCGGGGUAACGGCCCACCGUGGCGACGAUGGGUAGCCGGCCUGAGAGGGUGGACGGCCACAUUGGAACUGAGACACGGUCCAGACUCCUACGGGAGGCAGCAGCUAAGAAUCUUCCGCAAUGGGCGAAAGCCUGACGGAGCCGACGCCGCGUGAACGAAGAAGGCCGUGAGGUUGUAAAGUUCUUUUCGGGAGGGGGAACAACCGUGGCAGGGAAUGGCCGCGGGAUGACGUGAAUCCCGGAAUAAGCCCCGGCUAACUACGUGCCAGCCGCGGC